UAUUGAUGGUUUGUGUACUGGAUUAAACGGGACUUGGCCAACUUAGGUUGGGAUGAAGGAUUGUUGAUUAGACACUGGAUUUGGAAAUUGGAAGAUUCAAGAUGGCGAGCCACCCUAUGGACACAGUGUGAACUGUGCAUGAGCCAGGAUUGCACCCCCUGCUGGAUGUUUCAUGGUUUACAUCUGAACUGGUAGGAUCUUUUCACCUUCCACCAAACUAGUGGAUCCAGGUGGAUAACAUUGGACUGAUAAUUCAGAGAAAGAAAAACAAGCAGAAUCGGAAGGAAGAUACUUUAUUCUGUGGAAUACAGACUUGUUCAGUCUUUUGCUGAAUAUUUUGAGUUUUGUAACAGUUUGACUGUAUUUUAUUUUCUUUAUUCAUUGUUUGGUUCCAAAUGCUAAAACAACAUUUUGUCUAAAUUCAAUGAUACCUAUACUAAACUAAAAGAGUUGAGAUAAAUAGAACUAAACUCAUUAAUAAAAGAGUUAAAUAGAGAAAUACCUUGAACUACCUUGAACUGAAGAUUAAAAUAGCUAAAGGUUGCAACCUAUAUUGAUAGGACCCAAAAGGAAUUAAAUAUCCUAAAAUUAAACU